rnacentral:rRNA from 1 species
GACGAACGCUGGCGGCGUGCUUAACACAUGCAAGUCGAACGAAGAGCGAUGGAAGCUUGCUUCUAUCAAUCUUAGUGGCGAACGGGUGAGUAACGCGUAAUCAACCUGCCCUUCAGAGGGGGACAACAGUUGGAAACGACUGCUAAUACCGCAUACGAUCUAAUCUCGGCAUCGAGGAUAGAUGAAAGGUGGCCUCUACAUGUAAGCUAUCACUGAAGGAGGGGAUUGCGUCUGAUUAGCUAGUUGGAGGGGUAACGGCCCACCAAGGCGAUGAUCAGUAGCCGGUCUGAGAGGAUGAACGGCCACAUUGGGACUGAGACACGGCCCAGACUCCUACGGGAGGCAGCAGUGGGGAAUCUUCCGCAAUGGACGAAAGUCUGACGGAGCAACGCCGCGUGAGUGAUGACGGCCUUCGGGUUGUAAAGCUCUGUUAAUUGGGACGAAAGGCCUUCUUGCGAAUAGUUAGGAGGAUUGACGGACCGAAUAGAAAGCCACG